UGGUGACAUAGAAGACUUAAUGGCCAGGAAAGGUGUCUCAUUGCUGUCACUUCUUGGGAAGAAAUAAUUUUCAUGAACCAUCUCAGAGUGUAACAUGUGGUUGGAAUUACUAAGAUAUCAUGUUGCCAGACUCUUUCUCAUUCCUUGAGAUGGUUUUAACCCAUCUGAAGUCUACUGAUGGUAAAGGUCACCUAGCACUUAAGCUGAUAAAAUGA
rnacentral:lncRNA from 1 species